GAUGAACGCUGGCGGCGUGCUUAACACAUGCAAGUCGAACGAUGAAGCCCAGCUUGCUGGGUGGAUUAGUGGCGAACGGGUGAGUAACACGUGAGUAACCUGCCCUUGACUCCGGGAUAAGCCUGGGAAACUGGGUCUAAUACUGGAUAUGACUUCUCAUCGCAUGGUGGGGGUGGAAAGAUUUAUUGGUCUUGGAUGGACUCGCGGCCUAUCAGCUUGUUGGUGAGGUAAUGGCUCACCAAGGCGACGACGGGUAGCCGGCCUGAGAGGGUGACCGGCCACACUGGGACUGAGACACGGCCCAGACUCCUACGGGAGGCAGCAGUGGGGAAUAUUGCACAAUGGGCGCAAGCCUGAUGCAGCGACGCCGCGUGAGGGAUGACGGCCUUCGGGUUGUAAACCUCUUUCAGUAGGGAAGAAGCGAGAGUGACGGUACCUGCAGAAGAAGCGCCGGCUAACUACGUG
rnacentral:rRNA from 1 species